CUGGCUCAGGAUGAACGCUAGCGACAGGCCUAACACAUGCAAGUCAGGGGCAGCACAAGGAGCAAUCUGAGGUGGCGACCGGCGCACGGGUGAGUAACACGUAUGCAACCUGCCUGUAAGCGGGGAAUAACCCGUUGAAAGACGGACUAAUACCGCAUAAUACUAAAUUACUGCAUGGUAAUUUAUUUAAACAUUUAUGGCUUACAGAUGGGCAUGCGCAUGAUUAGCUAGUUGGAGAGGUAACGGCUCCCCAAGGCAACGAUCAUUAGGGGUUCUGAGAGGAAGGUCCCCCCACACUGGUACUGAGACACGGACCAGACUCCUACGGGAGGCAGCAGUGAGGAAUAUUGGUCAAUGGACGAGAGUCUGAACCAGCCAAGUCGCGUGCAGGAAGAAUUGUCCUAUGGAUUGUAAACUGCUUUUGCAGGGGAAUAAAGUGCAUCACGUGUGAUGUUUUGUAUGUACUCUGCGAAUAAGGAUCGGCUAACUCCGUGCCAGCCGCCGC
rnacentral:rRNA from 1 species